AUUGAACGCUGGCGGCAGGCCUAACACAUGCAAGUCGAACGAGUGGCGGACGGGUGAGUAAUGUCUGGGAAACUGCCCGAUGGAGGGGGAUAACUACUGGAAACGGUAGCUAAUACCGCAUACCAUCGGAUGUGCCCAGAUGGGAUUAGCUUGUAGGUGAGGUAACGGCUCACCUAGGCGACGAUCCCUAGCUGGUUUGAGAGGAUGACCAGCCAAAAUGGAACUGAGACACGGUCCAAACGCCUACGGGAGGGAGCAGUGGGGAAUUUUUGACAAUGGGGGAAAGCCUGAUUGAGCCCUUCCGAGUUGAGGAAGAAGGCCUUCGGGUUGGAAAGUACUUUUGGCGGGGAAGCGUUACCCGCAGAAGAAGCACCGGCUAACUCCGUGCCAGCAGCCGCGGUAAUUC
rnacentral:rRNA from 1 species